UUUCAAUACUCCGUGAGUUAUUUCACAUAGAAGUUGUGUGGGAGUUUUUAUAAAAAAAAAUUUGAAGUUGCUAGUAGAGCUGAUGGAAACUCAACCGGCUAUAUCCCGAGGAUUUCUUAAGGGCAGUAAAGUGUUGGGUGAACUCAACUUUCGGAGAAGGUGAAUAACGAACUAAAUAGCGUGGAACCAACCGUAAAAAAUAAUGUGCAAUGGAUGAAGGCGUAGCCUGAUCAAAAGAAAUUCGUGUGGCUCAAAAUUGGAAGGUCAGAAAACAAGACAGGGCUGCUUCAUGUAAACUGUCCCCCUGUAAAGUAUACCCUCGCGAAGGUAUGAAAGAGUCAGUGAAAUGGUUGCCGGCGAGAGGAUAUUUGGAUUGCAGGAGCAGGAGACCUAGGCAAACGACAUGAAUAUUUGCCCUGGUCUAGAAUUAAUUUACGUUGAAGAAGAAUUUGUUGCCAUUCUUCGACAUUCAGAAUUGGCAAAUUUAUUCUUAGGGAAUUUUAAAAUCCGCAAGCGAGAUUUUCCGCGAGAAUAUUUCGAAUUGAGCUGCAAGGGGCUUACGAUAGUUGUCAAAUACUCAACGACUUUGGAUACAGUCAAGGCAUCGCAGCACAUUAAACGCAUAAUAUAACUGUUAAAAUUGCAUCGAUAUGAUAAUGAUUGUAUAACGGAUGAAGUAUUAAGAGAUGCAACAGUCGUUGCAGAGAAAAUUGGGUUGCAGGAGGAGGAUAUGACAUCGCUACUUCGUAGAGUUGGCGAGCAAUGUCACCGAAAAAAACCAACUAUAUGAGAAUAGCUCAAAGUAUUGGAGGCGGUCAUUGUAUAUACCUUACUUGUACUCAAUUAAUAGCGGAAAUCGGUUUUCUAAUGAGAAUAAUGUAUAAUUUUCUCUGUUCUAUUUACAUCCAGCAAAAAUUCAAAUAAAGUCAGCAGACUC